rnacentral:rRNA from 1 species
UACGGGGGGGGCAAGCGUUGUUCGGAAUUACUGGGCGUAAAGGGCUCGUAGGUGGCCAACUAAGUCAGACGUGAAAUCCCCAGGCUCAACUUGGGAACUGCGUCUGAUACUGGAUGGCUUGAAUUCGGGAGAGGGAUGCAGAAUUCCAGGUGUAGCGGUGAAAUGCGUAGAUAUCUGGAGGAAUACCGGUGGCGAAGGCGGCAUCCUGGACCGAUAUUGACACUCAGUGAGCGAAAGCCAGGGGAGCAAACGGG